rnacentral:rRNA from 1 species
CACGUAGGGGCCAAGCGUUGUCCGGAUUUAUUGGGCGUAAAGAGCUCGUAGGCGGUUCGGUAAGUCGGGUGUGAAACCUCCAGGCUCAACCUGGAGACGCCACCCGAUACUGCUGUGACUUGAGUCCGGUAGGGGAGCGUGGAAUUCCUGGUGUAGCGGUGAAAUGCGCAGAUAUCAGGAGGAACACCAGCGGCGAAGGCGGCGCUCUGGGCCGGAACUGACGCUGAGGAGCGAAAGCGUGGGUAGCAAACAGG